rnacentral:rRNA from 1 species
GCAUCGAUGAAGAACGCAGCGAAAUGCGAUACCUGGUGUGAAUUGCAGAAUCCCGCGAACCAUCGAGUCUUUGAACGCAAGUUGCGCCCGAGGCCACUUGGCCGACACGCCAAACACGCUCCCACCCCUCAUCGGGUGGUGGGAUGCGGCAUGUGGCUCCCCGUCUUGCAAGGGGCGGUGGGCCGAAGAUGCGGCUGCCGGCGUAUCGUGCCGGACACAGCGCGUGGUGGGCGACCUCGCUUUACUUACCGCAGUGCAUCCGGCCCAUAGCCGACGUGAUGGCCUUAAGGACCCUAUGAACGGAGCGCAUGACGCUCCGACCGCGACCCCAGGUCAGGCGGGACUACCCGCUGAAUUUAAGCAUAUCAAUAAGCGGAGGA